AGGUUGGUAGCCUCUGAAUUUGAUCGGCAAGCUCACCACUCAAACCUUCUGAAAUGAAAAGGCUGAACAGCAGGAUCAGAAAAGCACUUCAAAGAAAAGCAUUUUGCAUACAAAUGAAAAGGCUUCGUGGAAAACGAAGACAGGGUCUACGUUACUGAGCCUUACAAUAUGCUACUUUCCUUGGUUUUAAAGAGGCUAAGGGAAUCCUUUCAAGGAACAAUGAAGGCACCACAUUGCUGACUGCGCCAGGAGCUGUUAAUAGGCACCUCUGCUCACAGCCCUAGACUGUGUGGGGUGUUCCCGAGAGCACAAUGACUUCCAAAUCUGCCAGCAUAAUCCCCACAGUUCACUGCUCUGGAACGCAUUUCAGCACAGCAGCAAGUUCCAUUCCAGUAGCCUUUCCCCAAGAGGGCUGAAGAAGGGUCUCUCUUACUGUGAAUCAGACUGCUCCUAGAGGGGAUUCAUCAGGCGGCAAAGCACUUCUCACGGGAAGCAACGCGCACAAGACAGUAUUUUAAUUUUGCAUGCACAAACAAUACUCCUCUGCCCUUAUUAAGGAUAAUCCUGUAGCAUUAUCUAGAAUGAGAAACUCUUGGUAAAGCCAAUCAUAAUACUAAUAGGCAUCUUCCAGGAGACUUCUCAACUGGGCACAGAGUUGUGGGAAUCAUGCCAUGGUGAGAGAGUUAUGAGAAAGGCAGAUAUCAGAAUUACAAAGCCCCAGGGAAAGAGUCGGAGCUGGAUAACGAUUUGCUCAUCUUCCAUGCACAAUAAACUGCAAGCGAGAUAUGUUUCCAGCUCUACAGACUCUCUGACUUUUCCCUUUAUUUAAACCCCCAUGCAUUUUCCCCUAUGGCUCUUCUCAAAUGCUAUAAAACUAAACAGGUCACCAGCAUGGAUGAGUCUGACCCAUAGAAAGGUGAACGUCAGCAGCCAUGGUUCAUCCAUGGACAGCCGGGAUGGACAGACCCUUAGCUAUUAGCGCCAUGACGUACCUGGUGCUAUGUAUCCAGCAGCAGCGGCUGCCCCAACAAAUGCCCCUCGUGUUAAAGCGCCUCGUCCUCUGCCUCGAGCAGCCUGGACUGCUGCUGACACAGCUGUAUUUACAACUCCUUUAGUCUGUGCAGAAUAAUAAAAAUGGCAUGAUUCAGAACAGGAUACAUGAGGCAAUCCAUGUUAAACACAUCGAAUGCUAUAUUCAACCCGCUAGGCUUGUUAAAGGCAACACACUCACUCAUUCCAUUCUGAAGCGUAGCUGUGCAGAAUUGGGGACUGUGGCACAGACCUAUAUGUGAGCUCACAAGUUCUCUCAAUUUAUAGAAUCCCCUUCCCUGGACAGAACGGAGCAUUGGCAGCUGCCAACAGGCAUCUUUGUUUCAUUCAAACACCACAGUGAGCUAUGAGCUAUCUUUUUGUCAUGGGUGCGAUGUGACUCUGAUCACUGAUAGGGCACCAAUGUGCUACUACACUCUGCUACUGAUCUCCAUCUUGCUUGCCUGUGGGGAGCUGCAGGGACGUGGGGUCACUGCUGCAAAGCUGGAUUUGUUACAUCAUCAGAAAUCCUUGACACUUUUGGAGAGAGUGAAGUGCCCGGGAGAGAAGGGGAGGAUAUUGACCAUUUCUCCCCACCUCUCCUCUCCGGCUUGCUGGCUGUUUAAACUGCUGUGCAGCCCACCUUUGCCCUGCCCCAUGAAGUGCUGAGCUAAGAGCUGGGACGGGGAGCAUUGGCAUUUUUAUUAUAAUAUUUCUCUGUAACAUAUCAAGAGUGAAAUCCCAGACUUAUUAACUUCAAGAGGACCAGGAUUCUACCCCAAAUGAAGCAAGAAAGCCUGGACAAGAAUUUUCAAAAAUACAAACUUAUCUUUAUUCUCCUAAAGUCACACUUAGGGCUUGUCUACACAACGUUUAGUUCACGGCAAGCUGGGCUGUGAAUCUCCCCCGCACCAGCUUGCCAUGCACUAAGUGUCCGUGUGGACCCUGCUCAUGCACAUUAAACAGCUAAUACACUCUGAUCUGGUCCCAUUUCAAAAAGGACUAGGCUAACCUUGUGAGAGAGUUAGUCUGUGUCCAGGGCAGAUUCCCACCUCAGCUUGCCACUAACAGUGUAGAUGAGCCCUUAGGCAUCAUUAAACUGGGUUGCCAGAUUUUCAGAAGUAUUGGCCACUCAGCUCCCGUAGGUUGGGUUGACAGCUGUCAGAUGACUGGCACAUUUCAAAGUUUGGCCACUGAUUUUGACUCCUACUUUUUAGGAAUCUUGGCUGCUUUGUUAGACAGGAAUUAAACUUGAAACACGGUAACCCUUCCUUUGGGCUAGUAUGUGCAGUAUCCAUUCAAUCGGAUAGAUCUUUUCCUCUGUCCUCACAUGGAGACAGAUUUCCAUAGAAUCACAGGACCUGGAAGUGACCUCGAGAGGUCAUCCGCUCCAGUACCCUGCACUCAUCCCUGACAGGUGUUUGUCUAACCUGCUCUUACAAAUCUCUAGUGCUGGAGAUUCCACAAUCUCCCUAAAUACUGGAAUUAAUUACUUUACUACCCUGACAGGACAUUUUUCCUAAUGUCCAACCUAAACUGCCCUUGCUGCAAUUGAAGCCCAGUGCUUCUUGUCAUAUCCUCACAGGUUAAGGAGAAUGAUUUUUCUCCAUCCACCUUGUAACAACCUUUUAUGUACCUGAUGUAAUGGGCCAUUUUCAUGCCUGGCUAUUAGGAUCCUAUCCGUUUUAAAUGCUGUCUCUAGUGUUAAGAAUACAUCCUUCCUAGUUCAUUUUUAUUUUCUGGCCCCACCGUAAGAUCUAUUUCCCUCUUACAUGUCUGAAUAAAUCCUUUGCCUUCUCUUUUCAUUUUGUUAUAAUCUUAUUCCUUAAUUACCUUCUGGCUCCAUCUACUUAUUCUACUCAGUAAACGCCAUUUCUUAAUUUUUUCUUCUCAAAGCGCACAAUAGCUACAGUUGUGUAGACAGCUCUGUUGGUCUAACCAUAGACUGUGCUGGCCAAACCUCCUUUAGAAACUCUGAUUUUUCCUUCUUUUUAAAUAAAGGGAGACUGUCUGCAUGUGUGCAUCAAACCGCAUUGUUUCCCAAGCAUAGUCAGCAGCUGCAAGCUAACUGGCAACCUCAUGCAGCAGAUCAGAGAGCUUUAGAAGACUAUUGACAUAGUUUAUUGCGAAGAAAUGAGAACAGAAUAUGACUAAAAAUCAGAGUGCCUCGAUCUCAGAUCAUUCUCAGAUCUUAACUGCCAUCUGUGUGUGGAACAACAUUCUUCAGGAAUUGGAUUUUAAAAUAAUCAUGGAAGCUGAAGAACUUCCAUGAUGCAGGAACUGGAGGUCUUGGGGCAUCCAGGAGAAUUACUAUAAACAUAAUUGUUAGAUACAGAAUUUAACGAAUACAAGUGGCUGGUAAUUUCUUUGAAUAUAUUUUAUGCUGUAGCAGGAUGGAACAAAAUUGAUUUUUGCAAAGACUGGAAAAGAAACCUAAUUCUAGUUAAUCUGCACAAUGCAGAUCAAAGCUGUAACUGUCAGGACUUUUUCUGUGUGUGAUUUUCUGGAAGAAGUACACUGAUAAUCAGCUUCAGUUGUGUUCAGUGUUAAUGGUAUAGAAUGGAGAGAUCACGGUGGCUCUCAGGAACCAUUUUAAUGAUUAUUAUUAGAAUCUAAUGUAAAAAGAAGUCUGAAGUGAAGUUUUUAGUAAACAAAUCCUCCCCAUCCAAUGAAAUGUUGCAUUUGAAAAGGGAUACCCCUCAAAUAGUUUAGGCUCAAAAUUCAACUUCAUUUAGAAGCUAGAGAUUGUGUCUAUCACCAGACUAUAAACAAGGUAUUCUUUAAGUCUACUUCUAUUACUAUCAGAGAGGUAGUGCAGUCUAGUGGGUAUUGCACUGGAGUUGAACUCAGGGGACCUGGGCUCUAUAACUGACUCCAGCACUGACCGGCUGUGUGACCUUGGGCAAAGUCACUUCCCCUCUCUCUGUCGUCUCUAUGUAAGAUAGUAAGCACUUUGGGGCAUAGACUGUUCUGUCUCUUCGUACAGCUCUAACACAUUGAGGCCCUCACAUCAGCUCAGGCCUCUCAGUGCGAUUAACAAAUUACUAACAACAACAGAGUAAUAAAAACAAAGGACAAUGCUUCCAAUAGACCUGCUGAAAAACAACAGACUGAAGUCAUGUGGUCCCUUUUCAGACGCCAUCUCUAAUGCUACCCCAGGGCGGUGCUGACAUGGAGAAUGGCACUAACUAUAAAAGGCAAUUGGGGAUUCUUACCUGAGGGAGAAUCUUCUUUUUCUUAUUGUUGGCUGCAUUAGGCCCAGAAAACAGUUUCUCAAGUGCUGCUAAAGCAGCGCUCGCUUUUGCCACCUUCUUAUUUGGACCUGCGCCUCUGAACUUCUGCCCAUCUACUUCUACCUGAAGCCAAGAGGUUAAUUUAGAGCCAGUACUUUUCCUGGUGGGAACAACUACUCAUAUUUACAACCAGAUCCCAGCUGGAAUCAUGAGCCGUUGAUAAAAAAUUUCAACAAGGCAAGGAGGACAUUCCCCUGCCAUCCCCACAAUCGCCUGGGCCCUGGGAGAUAUAGGAACCUGAAAAGGUUACCGUCCCUCUUGUGGAAGAGAAUGAACGCCAGUUCUUCCUGAUACAUCCGCCUUAGCAGGCUCUCUAGGGAUGGACCGGCACCAGAGACACAGCAUUGUCAAAGCUUCAGCACAACCUGCUGCACCAGAACAGCAGAUAUGAAGCCCCUGCCCUCAAGGAAAGCUGAGGGAUGAACCAUUUAAAAAAUAAAAUAAAAUAUUGCCACCCGCUCAUACCCAGCACAGCAGGCAGCUAGCGUCUCCAUGACCAGUCGCCAUCACCUUCACAGCACAGCAUGGAGCAUCAUGCUGCUGGCUGAAGGAUAGACCAUCUAGGUGUCCAGUUUCUUGAAAGCAGCUCUCUGCUACUGAACAGAAGGGGAUUGGCUUUCCCAGCCCUGCACAUCUCUAUUGCCUGAUCUAACCAUCCCCAUGGCACUCCAGUCUCUGACUGGGGAAGCCACAGAGCGUAGGUCAUACAUCACAGUAGAUAUAGCUGUUAUCUUGGGCUAGAAAUGCAGAAACAAAGAGCCAGUACACCAGGAUAGCAGACUUCUUUCUAGUCUGCUGUGCUGGAGGCACCAAAGCAGAUACUGAAAAGUGAGAAGAACACAGAAGAUUAGGAGAGCCAGGCCAAGAUUUUCAGAAGUGUCAAGCACCCAACGCGAGGCACCUGCCCUCUGAAAAUAAGGUCCCUUUAAGGCAUCUCAAUUUAGGCACCCAAAAUCCUGAGUCACUUUUGAAAACCUUGGCCCUUGUAAAAAGUUAGAAAUGUUUACAUGAAAAACAGUUACGAUUUGCCUUUAGUUAAAAAUGAUCUAAAUAAUUCUAGUUCUUUUUAAAACUGGGUUAAACAGGCUAGUAUGAUUGUGACGCUGUAUGGAAUAUGGGAGACACUUUAUAAUAUUGUUGAUACCAAUAUUAUAAAAGUGCAAUGAAUCUUACCAGGUAUACCAUGUAAGGUAUCAUUGGAAAAGUUAUAAUUCACUAGAUACGGUAAUCUUGUUUGCAUCACCUUUGAAUUGUAAGUUAUAGAUAUGAAGGGUAUAUCUAUAUUUCCAAACUUGUGCUGUGCAUCUGGGUGACACCCCUAGACAGAUUGGCAUCAGCACUGCCCAGCCUGCUUGAUGGCUCAUCAAGGGACAUCAGCUGUACACUGAACUCACUGAAAGGGUCAGGGGCUACGGCUUAUGACUCAGCAAGGCAUGCAGAGGCAUGCUUAUAGACAGACCUCUAAGGCAUCCAGGCCAUGUGCUGGGCAGCUUGUGUUUGAAACAAAAGAAAUACAAGCUGCAUGGCAAAAGACUAUAAAAGGUAGCUGCAUCUUCUCUAGUUUGUCUUCAUUCCUGCUUCUUACCUCUGGAGUAACUGUUCUACAAACUGCAGCUCUGAACAAAAGACUGAAUGACCCAUCCAAGCUGUGGACAUAUUCCAGAGGGACUUUCAAGCCAGCAAACUCACCAACACUGCUAAGAACCUGAUAUAUGGAUUUUGAAGCCUUUGUUUUUAUGUAAUUGCUUUACCAUUUAACAACUCUUCCAGUCCUUUCUUUUUUCUUUAUAAUAAACCUUCAGUGUUAGAUGCUAAAGGAUUGGAUGGCACCGUAGGAUUUUGGGUAAGAUCCAACCUAGUACUGACCUGGCAAUGUGGCUGGCCCUUUGGGGUCAGGAGAACAUUUUGUAAAGUGAGCAGAAUUUUUAAAAUAACUUCUCACCUUACUGCACCUAGGUGCCGAUUGGGAGUCUGAAACUGGAAUGCACUAAGAGGGCUGUGUGAUUACCAGCUUCUUAGUAGCCAGGGUGGGGAUCAGAAGCACAGUUUGGAGAGUAUAACUUCAACGUUACCCAACGGUCUUGGGAGUAUCUGCUCUCCUUUUGGCAACCUGCCCUGACCUUGGCAUUUCCAGUGAGGGCUACACUAGGCACCUCGUAUCAGAGGG